rnacentral:rRNA from 1 species
UACGAAGGGGGCUAGCGUUGCUUGGAAUCACUGGGCGUAAAGGGCGCGUAGGCGGGCUCACAAGUCAGGGGUGAAAGCCCACGGCUCAACCGUGGAAGGGCCUUUGAUACUGUGGGUCUCGAGGGAGGUAGGGGCGUGCGGAACUUCCGGUGGAGCGGUGAAAUGCGUAGAUAUCGGAAGGAACAUCGGUGGCGAAAGCGGCGCGCUGGACCUCUUCUGACGCUGAGGCGCGAAAGCCAGGGGAGGCAA